rnacentral:rRNA from 1 species
AGAGUUUGAUCCUGGCUCAGGACGAACGCUGGCGGCGUGCCUAACACAUGCAAGUCGAGCGAGGGCAGCCUUCGGGCUGACCCGAGCGGCGGACGGGUGAGUAACACGUGAGCAAUCUGUCUCUGUGCGGGGGACAACCCGGGGAAACUCGGGCUAAUACCGCAUGGGCGGUACCCAGGAUCUGGGAGCCGGGAAAGGUGGCCUCUUUACAAUGCUGCCGUGCAGAGAGGAACUCGCGGGCUAUCAGCUAGUUGGUAGGGUUACGGCCUACCAAGGCGACGACGGCUACGGGGUCUGAGAGGACGACCCCGCACAUUGGAACUGAGACACGGUCCAGACUCCUACGGGAGGCAGCAGUGGGGAAUAUUGGGCAAUGGCCGAAAGGCUGACCCAGCGACGCCGCGUGCGGGAGGAAGCCCUUCGGGGUGUAAACCGCUGUCAGGGGGGACGAAUGGGGACGGCGAGAAUACCGUCGUCCCGUGACGGUACCCCCAAAGGAAGCACCGGCUAACUCUGUGCCAGCAGCCGCGGUAAUACAGAGGGUGCAAGCGUUGUUCGGAAUCACUGGGCGUAAAGCGCGCGCAGGCGGAUGGUUGCGUCUGGAGUGAAAUUUCGCCGCUCAACGGCGAAGCUGCUUUGGAUACGGACCGUCUGGGGACCGGUAGAGGCUGGUAGAAUUGCAGGUGCAGCGGUGGAAUGCGUAGAGAUCUGCAAGAAUACCCGUGGCGAAGGCGGCCAGCUGGGCCGGAUCCGACGCUGAGGCGCGAAAGCGUGGGGAGCAAACAGGAUUAGAUACCCUGGUAGUCCACGCCGUAAACGAUGGGCACUAGGUGCCGGGGGGAGCGACCCCUUCGGUGCCGCAGCUAACGCGAUAAGUGCCCCGCCUGGGGAGUACGGCCGCAAGGCUGAAACUCAAAGGAAUUGACGG